rnacentral:rRNA from 1 species
GAGGAAUAUUGCGCAAUGGGGGCAACCCUGACGCAGCGACGCCGCGUGGAUGAUGAAGGCCCUUGGGUCGUAAAAUCCUGUCAGAUGGAAAGAAACGUAUAGGUGCUAAUAUCGCCUGUAUUUGACGGUACCAUCAAAGGAAGCACCGGCUAACUCCGUGCCAGCAGCCGCGGUAAUACGGAGGGUGCAAGCGUUGUUCGGAAUUACUGGGCGUAAAGCGCGCGUAGGCGGUUUGCUCAGUCAGAUGUGAAAGCCCUCGGCUUAACCGGGGACGUGCAUUUGAUACUGGCAGACUUGAGUACUGGAGGGGGUGGUGGAAUUCCCGGUGUAGAGGUGAAAUUCGUAGAUAUCGGGAGGAAUACCGGUGGCGAAGGCGACCACCUGGCCAGAUACUGACGCUGAGGUGCGAAAGCGUGGGGAGCAAAC